UGGAGAAGGAGCUUUGGCAGCACCUUGGCUGCCAGGGAUGGCGGCAGAGCAGGGACCAUCAAUGGCCAAGGGAUGCUCAGGGCAGAAACAGGCAGGUGUAUUGCAGGCAAGCUUCGUCUCACCUCAGCUGCCUCCAAGAUCUGUAGGUGCCCUGUGGGAGCUAAUCAGCCUCCCAAGCCCCCAGACUUCUUAAUUUUACUGAUUUAAAAAUAGCCUCAGGCUCCUUAAGGGGCUGCAGCUGAGGAGACUCCCUUGUAACUCAGCUGGCUGAACGGGCCCUGUUAAACUCACCUGCUCCCUCAGGUCCCCCACAAGGAUGUUUUCCAAGCGUGGUAGAAAUAGACAUUUUUACAUUUCUGUCUUUGCAUGCAUGCAGAUUCCUCCAUGUUUUGACAGAAGGACACAUGGCACAAGGAGAUGGCUACAGGGGGAUGCCAGUGCUGGCAUAGAGCAGAGAUUUGGCAGAAGAAAUCAACAAGGACAAGCCAACAGGACUUACUGUAGAGGCCACAGACUUUCCUUCUUCAGAGUUACUAACGUCUCAGAGGGAUCCUGCUACUUCUCAUGCCACAGGAUCUGUUGGAGGAAUGAAGACACAUUCCCCAUGCUGUGCCUCUGAAUCCUCUCCUGGGCUUUCCCAUUACCUUCAGCUCUGCCAGAAGGCUGAAGGAUGUUCCUGUGGUAAAUCUCGUAAUCUGUCUGCUGGACAAAGCACCAGGCACCUGAGAAGACCUAUGGCUUGUUGACAGCCAGCCUGGUUAUCCCAGUGGUAAGUGCCACAGACAGACACACCCCUUGGGAUCCCAAAAGAAAAACAUUAUAUUUAAAAAGAUGAGAUACUUCCAUUUCUGACAGAUAGGGCACUUUUCACUGCAGAGCAGCUACCCACAGCUGCUGCACAGCACUGGCAGUGUCCAUAAACCCACACACUAGCUUCUCCUAAUACCCUGCUCAAGUAACCCAGCCCAAGUCUAUUCCUUUCAGCUGUGCAUCCAGCUCCAGUAAUAAGUGUUUAAUCCCACUGAAGCCCACCUGCUGCAGGUCUUGCUUCUGAGGGACCCCACCACAAACUCUGGAUGUUUCAAUGGGUAUCACCCCCUGUGAAUGGGAGCUUCUGACACCACAAUGCUGCAACAUGCAUUUCUACAUAAAAUUCACCUUGGGACAUGUUUCCCUUGCUGAGCAAACUAAAUCCGAGUUCUACAAAUGCCACAUCUUAUCAGGGCCAUUUUCUUUAUCAGUUUGAUUGCAAAUUGGCUUGAGUCUAUAGACUCCUAGAGCAUGAAGCCACAUCCAGCUAAGUCUUAGAAGCUGUAAACUAAAGGAGAUGGCAGCUGUUUCUCUCUGGAGCAUUCAUGAGGUAAUAAUAGUAACAAUAAGGGGAAGGAAAAUAGAGCAGUUUCAUUGUGAUAUUUUUUAGAAAGUAAAGAUUCCAUUGAAUAUAAAAUUAUCAUUGAUUUUAGGCACUUUGAUGGACUAAUGUUUGGUUUUAGUGGAGUAAUUUUCUGAGAAGAGCAGAAAAAGCUGUGUCAAGAGGGAACAACCUUCACUUUGUAUAGAGAGGUGCUGCUGGGUAGAAGUGCUGGAGUCCUUUAUUUUAAUGGGAUUAAUUAUAUUGCACAGGAAACCUGGAUUUGAAAGCAGUUCCUCUGAUACAUUCCUCUUCAGGAGUAAUUACCUGCUGCAUUUACCAAAGCUCAAAGGCUGAUCUUGUAUCGCACUGGAUCAUCUGCACUAUGGCUAAAAUUAAAACAAAGGGAGAGGAAACAAAUAAGAAAGGAUGUAAAACUCUCAAAUGUCAGGUCUAAAAGAAAGUCCUUUCCACCAAGAUGAAAGGUGGAACGCCUUUUAGAGUGAACAUCUGAUGUAGUUGGAGGUGAAACACAAAUAAGAGAAUAAUUAUGCUGCACUUGGUUUCCACCAACUGGCUCCUCACCACAUGAUGUCCCCUGGCUGCUUUACACCUUCUGCUUACCAUGGGGUUUCCAUCAUACCCAAAGACCUCUCAUCAAAAUUUUUCCUGUGGACAGCAUUCACUAGGAAAGACUGGCAAAUUUCUCUGGCCAAAUUAUAGGAAGCAGAAAGCUGCUUCUGCUGCUGAGGUGGGGGUUCGUUUUCAGUCAGCCUGCCCCAUCUCUCUUCUCCCUGACCAUAAAAUGUUGGACAGAGCAGAUGAGACAUUGCCUGCAUGGAAGUCAGAUCCUCUCUAGGAAGGCUUACACGACUUUACCUUCCAUGCAAAACAAAUCUGUAAUUAAAUGAUGCUUUAAAUGCUCA